UACGUAGGGGGCUAGCGUUGUCCGGAAUCAUUGGGCGUAAAGAGCGUGUAGGCGGUCCGGUAAGUCCGCUGUGAAAGUCGGGGGCUCAACCCUCGAAUGCCGGUGGAUACUGUCGGGCUAGAGUGCGGAAGAGGCGAGUGGAACUCCUGGUGUAGCGGUGGAAUGCGCAGAUAUCAGGAAGAACACCGACGGCGAAGGCAGCUCGCUGGGACGGUACUGACGCUGAGGCGCGAAAGCGUGGGGAGCGAACAGG
rnacentral:rRNA from 1 species